CCUACGGGAGGCAGCAGUGAGGAAUAUUGGACAAUGGGCGCAAGCCUGAUCCAGCCAUGCCGCGUGCAGGAAGAAGCAUCUAUGGUGUGUAAACUGCUUUUGUACGGGAAGAAACACUCCUACGUGUAGGAGCUUGACGGUACCGUAAGAAUAAGGAUCGGCUAACUCCGUGCCAGCAGCCGCGGUAAUACGGAGGAUCCAAGCGUUAUCCGGAAUCAUUGGGUUUAAAGGGUCUGUAGGCGGUUUGGUAAGUCAGUGGUGAAAGCCCUUCGCUUAACGAAGGAACGGCCAUUGAUACUGCCAGACUUGAAUUAUUGGGAAGUAACUAGAAUAUGUAGUGUAGCGGUGAAAUGCUUAGAUAUUACAUGGAAUACCAAUUGCGAAGGCAGGUUACUACCGGUUAAUUGACGCUGAUGGACGAAAGCGUGGGGAGCGAACAGGAUUAGAUACCCUUGUAGUC
rnacentral:rRNA from 1 species